ensembl:lncRNA
GUCCACAUCACCAAGGACACACACAGUUCUGUUUCUGGAGGUACAGGAAGUCCAUCAGUGUGCAUCAGGGUUCUACAGUUUUGUCCUGGUUUACAGCGGUUCAUCAGAACCAGGAUGGAGGUGACCUGCGCCAGUCCAUCAGCUGCUCAAAAUCCUGGACUUGAGCUCAAUAUGAUGGGAACCAGCAACACAGCACAGGUUCUGAAGUGUCCUGAGGGGUCCAGAUCCUCAGUGCCAGCAGCAAUGAAGGCUGCAGCUCAGUGGACGUCCUACUCUUGUAGACGUUGGAAGCAAAGAGGAAUAAAACUGGCAGGAGUUCAGCUGGAGAUGAAAUACCAAGGUCUGGCUGAGGAUGAAGGGGAUGAAAAACAAGACAAACCUGACGGAGAAAACAAAAACCAGAAACUGCUGAAUCACUUCAGACAACUUGCCGUGAGCAACCAGGACAGUGAUGAGGUAGACCUUCACUUUCUGGACAAGGUGAUCUCAGAUGGAGCCGAUCCAAACAGCUCAGACAGAUUUGGACAAACCGUCCUGCAUGAGGUCACUGAGGAAUUUAUUUAUGUUUUAUGAGCUCUGCGAUGACGAACGUCACACUUGUGUGGCACAAGUGACGUUCGUUAUCCCUAACCCUAUUGGUUGUGACAUGUCCCCAUGGUCCAUAUGCAAACCUACCUUGCUUGUUUUAGAGGACUCUGCUCAUUGGUUACAUUGCAGAGCUGUUCUUUUUGCAGAGAAAGUAUGUGUGUAUGUCUUCAGAUCUCCAGGGCUUGGAGUGUGGAUGUGAUGCGCUUCUUCCUGGACCGAGGUUCGGAUCUUCUACGUCCAGAUCAGUUUGGAGUCACUGCACUGCACGUGGCCUCUGCGCUGGACUACCAGGACAUGGUCCAGUUCCUGCUUGACCAAAAAGGUGUGUGGAGCGCUGUGGUGGUGUCAGUCGGCUUUUA